rnacentral:rRNA from 1 species
GACGAACGCUGGCGGCGUGCCUAAUACAUGCAAGUAGAACGCUGAAGAGAGGAGCUUGCUCUUCUUGGAUGAGUUGCGAACGGGUGAGUAACGCGUAGGUAACCUGCCUUGUAGCGGGGGAUAACUAUUGGAAACGAUAGCUAAUACCGCAUAACAAUGGAUGACACAUGUCAUUUAUUUGAAAGGGGCAAUUGCUCCACUACAAGAUGGACCUGCGUUGUAUUAGCUAGUAGGUGAGGUAAUGGCUCACCUAGGCGACGAUACAUAGCCGACCUGAGAGGGUGCUCGGCCACCCUGGGACUGCGACACGGCCCAGACUCCUACGGGAGGCAGCAGUAGGGAAUCUUCGGCAAUGGGGGCAACCCUGACCGAGCAACGCCGCGUGAGUGCAGAAGGUUUUCGGAUCGUAAAGCUCUGUUGUAAGUCAAGAACGGGUGUGAGAGUGGAAAGUUCACACUGUGACGGUAGCUUACCAGAAAGGGACGGCUAACUACGUG